CAGCACACGGCGCGAAAUAUUAGAGUAUAUUAGUUUGAAUAUAGAUAGUCAUAGUCAUGUUUCAAUUCAUUUGUUUAGUUCACGCUGGUUUCUCCGCUCCCAGUUCAUAGUCAUAGCUUAUGUUUCAUGUUUUGUAUAUCGACCCUGUUUUCCGUGACCACAACCUUGAUUCCUGCCUCGCCCUGUGUAAGCCUGUUUGCCGAUUGCCUGACCUCUUGCAUGUUUGUGGAUUACGUUUUUUGGAUCACGUUUUGGAUUUUCCUGCCUGUGUCUCUCUACAAUAAAACUGUUUAACCUGCGAUUGCAUCCUACCUUAUCGCCGUUACGUCACGAUACGUGACAGAUCUGCAUUGUUGGUGGAAAGAGACUGUACAUUUUGAAUGCGUAUAUCUUCUAAAUACAAAUUUUGUCAUUGUUUUGGCGCACACUAGCUUUUAGAUAAACUUAAGGCUGAUGUAUUCAUAGUAAAAGCCACAAAAUGUCAAUUUUGAUUUCAUGGGGACUUUAAUGCACAUCUGUAGAUUUGUUGUGGGGUUUUCUGUUGUUUUUUGUUUGUUUGUUUUUUUAGGGGGGUCGGGGGUAUUUUUGUAUAACAGCACAGUCUGCUUUAGUUUUCUUAUACCACAGUGAUUACAAUGUAUAAUUAAUUGCUGAACUGCACAUUUUAACGGUUUAGAGUUAGGUUUAAUGUGGUGGAAAGUCCAAGAGACAAGUUAGUUCCUGUUCUCACUUACAUUGUACACAAAAUCUGUUUUUAAUUACUUUUAUUAUUAGUCCCUGAGUCUGAGCUGUUCCUAUAAAAAAAAAAAGUAUACGAACAAGCACAUUAAUAUACAAUAGCCAUGCUGUUAAACAAAUAACGCACACCUUCUGACCAAUCAGAUACGAGUGUUUAUCCAUGCUGCAGUAUAAAACUGUUAUGCAGUACAUUCAGUAAGUGAUAACUGGAACAAUCUAUAACAUUUAAUGUAACUAUAAAUGGAUAAAAUGUAUGUCGUUCUUUCAUAAAUGAAAAAUCGCAAUCAUGGGCAAAUUGCAGUGGUGUAAGAGGAAUAAAACAUUUCAUGACAUGCAGUUAAUGGAAAACAAUCAACAUCGGGGUAGUACCAGUAACUCUGCUUGACAUCAGACCGCAUCACGUAAGCUCAUCGCUGAUUGUUUUCCUAUAAGAGCACGUCCGAUUUGUUGUACUCAUUAGUGACCGUCUCGGUUGUUAUUGUUACAGUGCCCUCUAGUGGUUAUCGUGUUGGCAAGAGGAGACAUUUAUCAACUGAUCAACUUUGCUUCUUUCUCGUACUGGUUCUUCAUCGCCCUGGUUACACUGGGGCUUCUCGUCCAUCGCUAUCGAUUCCCAGACCAUCCACGAACAUUUAAGGUUCCUCUGGCUGUUCCUGUGAUCUUCACGGUGGUGUGUUUCUUUAUCGUGGGUCUGUCUCUGUAUUCAGACCCCUGGAACACAGGUUGCAGUUUUGCUGUUACUUUCACUGGAAUCCCAGUGUACUACCUGACCAUAAAGCACUCGUAUAUACCGAACCGUUGGAGAAAAGCCAUCAAUUACUACACUAACCAACUUCAGAUCUUGUUGGAGGUGGUACAGCAAGAAGUUCAGACCUACUGAAGGAGCACAAACAUUACACUAAGGGGCAGGCGGUAAACUCAGACACCCUAAAAUUAUCAACAAACCAUCCAACAACCUCUCAACUGACUGCCAUGAACAAGUUUAAGAGGUUUAGUCUCAAAGACAUGGAAAUUUGAUAUUUGAGACAGAAAUAUUGUUGAAUGUUACCUUUUUUAGUAGGUUAUAGCAUCUUCUCAAACGUUGUACAACUAACCCAGACUGUGGUAGCCAUUAAACAUUUUACUUUCCCAUGUUGCAAUAUUCAGCGGACUCCUGAAAGGCUGUAACACAAUAAAAUGAGGGGGGGAGGGGGGAAUGAAAAGUCUCGACUGUAAUCUGGUUAAUCCAUAACUUCUUUAACAGCUAAAUAUCCUUCAUAUCCUUCAGUGUCUGAUACAAAGGAUUUGAGAUGGAAUGAGGUGUUUUCAUCAUUUAAAAGUUGUUGCCAACCUUUAGUAAUAAAAAACACACACUCACACACAAAACAGAUGACUAUGGAAACUGUACACCAAUGUACUACUGUGUUACAGAAAUUGUUCUAUGGUUGUGAUGAUAGCCUCAUGUUAUGUCCUACAUUCUGGGACGUAAAGAAAUUCAGUCAGUGGGUAAGAGUUUUGACAGUGUUAGCAAUGAUGAAUGCAGGUUGAAAUUAAACACAGGGUUGCAGUAAUAAUAAUAAUAAUAAUAAAAGGCAAAAACCAUAAAGCGCACAGAAUAGAGAUUAAUAGCUGGAUGCAUGCACAGUGAAAGAGGGUUGAGCCUGACAGAAUUAUAAAAUCUGUCCACUGAGUCUGGUAGUGUGUCAUAGAAGAGUAGUAAAUCAAAAUCCAAAGCAUCAGCAACUGAAUUUGAAUAAAGUUUAGAAAAUACUGCCAUCUGAGCGGUCCUGUAGCCCUAGAUAGCUACUUUCACUUCUAUUAUGUGCAAAUAAUAAAGCAACCCUAAUUUUAGUUUACAACAUGUCGAAGGUUUUGUUUGUAAACUGUAUUAAGGUCUCAUAGUGGCCUUGAAGAGGACCCAGUUAGCUACUUACCCAUCUAUACACAGAUGUAGCCAAAUCCUGAAGAACUUUAACUUCUUGUUACUUGUAAACGAAAACAAAUAGGGUCCACGUUAUAGCAUUCCAUUUUUUUAUUAACACCACACUUAAGUUACAGCAUAUAAGCCAGUUUCUUCUUGCGUUAUAAUUAAAAACAAAUGUUUAUUUCAGUGAUAUUGCAUGCAAUAUUACCGUCAACAUAGCUCUAAAAAUAAAAUCUAUUUUUAACACUGCAUGAAAAUUAAUGACUUGCAGUAGG